CCCCCCGCCUCUUCCAGCCUCGGGGGUGCUCGUCAGCAGCCCGGGUGCUGGCCCCUGGAUGGUGGUGUUGAGCCUGGGGGCUGUGCUGCUUGGUGUGGCGUGGAGGAGAGGGGGACAUUUUUGGCCGGUGUCCGGGCAUCUCCUGUGGGCACACAAAGUAAAGCAAACCCCCCCCCCAAAAAAAAAAGUAAAGCAAAAGUACUUUGAGCGCGUUCGCUCAUAGUGCAGCAGAGGCAUUCUUCGGUGUUUGGUACCGCUGAAGGCAGUAGCCGUGCUGGGAACUAGACGCAUGCGAUCAUAUGGCUGCGUAUAAACAGUUGUGGAUGAAAUGCGCUCUGUACGCUCUAUGUAUGUGUAGUAAGAGAAAACCUCAGCAUCACACAAUAAGCAACGGAAAUAUCCAGGAGGAUCACUCAAAAAGUCAGUUGCAAAUGCACACUAAAGAGAUCUGAUGAGCAGAAGCUGCAUGAGAAAACGGUAGCAAGAUUAACAGUCUUAACGUUGGCUCGUUGUCAUGCCACACAAACAACGUGUUGGGAAAGCUGAGAAUGGAGAAGUGGGUAUGACUCUUGCUUAGAACGUAUAUGGCACCUAGGGAGAAAAAUAAAUAGGGAGUUAAGCCUCUGGAGAGGAGAAUUCUAGCAGAAUUCAUUCAGGAUUUGUCCUUAGGAGGAACUGAUUCAAAGGAAUUUCUCAAACUCCAGAGACCAGAAGCUGACCUAAAGUUUUCUGCCAGGCCUGUAUACAUUUUCAGUGAUGUCUUAUUUCGUUACAGCUUUGGAACCUGCACAAUAUUGUUAGGUGAAUAGCAAAGGACAUUCCUGGUCAAUUAAAAAAUGCAUCGAACAGAUUGUAGCAACUCAAGGGAAGUAAGUUCUAUCUGCAAACACAGAAAAUUGGAUUGGCGUACAUAACCAAUGGAGCAUGGAUUCUGAACAUACUGAAGCGACCCCUGAGAUGCAUUGAAGUUUUCAGUUAGCACUCCAGCAAUUCUAUCAACCUCUGUAUUUUAAUCCAUAAUAACUGUGUGAAGAAUAUUCUAAUUUCUGAUUUGAUUUUUCUUCUUGCUUUUUUUUAGUAUUAGCAAAGUUUUUAAGCCUGCUAAUAAGUUAUCAUACAUUGGUGUGGCUUUUUUAUAACUAUUUGACUUCUCUGGGUAUGUGUGUGCAUAUGUGUGCCAUCAUUUUGAUACUGCAUGAGAGAAUAAAUAGAAAAGUCUCUUGUACUACUGAUAAAAUCUUACAGGAAUCCAUUUACAAGGUCAUCAGCAUAAGGCUGGUGCAGCAGCACUGAGUUACUGCAGCUCUGUACAUGUUUCUUUUGAAGCAAAUAAAAUAGGAAGGGAGCUAAGUGAAUUUCUCGGACUCCCCGUUGCUUCUGCUGCCCUUAGUUUAUCCUUGGAAACUCCUCAAAGCUUUGACAACAGUGGCAAGAAAUUAUGCAGUCACAAUAUUCUGAGACCUGCUAUAGGCUGUUGGCAUUUUAUUAGUUUUGGAAAGGAAUGAUUGGCUUACAGUAAGUAAAUAUACAUAUGAGUUUUCCUGAAAAUUGUCAUUGAAAGUGAAUAUUCAUAACUGAAUGGCAGUUAUGGUGAUAUAAGGUGAAGAUGACAGGUACUGUACAAAUAACAGUUAUUUUCUGAAGAAAUGCAUGCACAUAGUGAUCUUGUCUGCCUCUCUGCCUAUGCAGGUACAAAAUCCCUGCAGCCUGUAAUAAUAGCUUGAUUAAUACCUGAUUGUAAUUCUUUCCUUCAUGGCAGUCAUGCCUGAAGAAUGAACAACUAUAUUCAGUUUGUUCCAAUCAAAAUGGCACAUAUUUCAAGAGCAAUUUUCAGAUGAAUAUAUGAAUAAGAAAUCCUGUGAAAUGACUUCAUAUCCUCUCAUUUCUUGCUGUCCAAUAAUGUAUAACCACCUUUUGGAUAAUUUUAGAGAGAAGGACUGCUAAGAGAAGGUCUUUUCAGACUGCUCAGCAUUUAAGAACUGAACUUACUGAGGUCCUAAGUGGCUUGCCCAAAGUUCUUGCACAGUUUGUGAUCAAUCCAGAGAAAUAAAUUUGAUUUCUGUUUUUCACCUUCAUGGCCUAUGUGCUGCACUAGUGACAUUUAAUCAAUGCAAAAGCAUUGUUUUCCAGUGGAAGAUUAUGUUACUUCUUCCUCUGGUUCCUAAUUCGUUUAUUUAUAGGUCAAAGGCCUGAGUCUGCAUGACUAUCUUGCAUUGCAAUAGUUUUGGAAAGCAGAUAGAAAUUUGAUAGCUCAGCAUACUUGGGACUUCUCUGUGUAACUUCGUAGAGAGAAGGGUGCUUAGUGGAUGGGGGAAGAAUUCUUCUGGAUUCUGAUUGUAUGCCUCAUCUUGAUAUGGAAGCUCCUGGGGAAAAGACAGUCAAGGACAGACCUCAGCUACUUCAUUGUUCUCUGCACUUAUUGGCAGCAUGCUAUCCAGAUGCUUUAAUUUAUGUGAGGAUCAAAUAAGCCAGUUGCAGGUCUGGUAGAAGUUCAAAACUGGCAAAAAUGCAUUGCUGAGCAUAGCUCAACUGGGAACAUGAAAAUCUAGGCUGAAGUUGGUGCAGUGCAUAAGGACCUCUGUGUGUAGGCUUUACAAAUAAAAAGUUUGGCUCCAGCUCAUGGAAGUGAUCAAUCCAUUUAGGCAGGGCUGUUUCAUACAACUUAAUUCGAAGUCUCUUGUUAAAGCUCACUAAGUAAGAUUAGAGUCUGGAGGGAGGACUUAGGGGAGGGGCAGAAGGUUAGUCCUGUUCUAAUGAUCUUACUGAUAGGGAUUUUGUUACUUACUUUCUCCAGAAGGUAUUUAUUUUAGAAGUACUGAGUUCGCUUACGAUAUCGUUGAUAUGAGGAACAAGUGAAAAAGUCCAAAAGCCGAUUUCUACACUGCUUUUUAAAUGAUUAUGUAGUCAUUAAAAUAAUUAACGAGCCUCCAUGGACUAUGCAAGUACAGCAAGAAGAAUAAGCAAAUUUACCUUGCAUGCAUACCCUUAAAAAUGCUGUGAGAGUAAUUGAUUUUUGUGACCUAGUGGCAAACCAGGAAACCUGAAGACAAAAAAAGUUCAAAAUGACCUAUUUUUUAUUUUAAAAUAGUGGUCAUUUACACAUUUUUUCCACUUGCUGUUUAAAACACAUCUUUUGUAUUGUAGAACAGCAUUUAAAAGGGCAUCAAGAAAAACAAAUUUUUGCUUUCUAUACCUUUCUUAGUCUUUCAAUUUAUUGAAUUACUAUCAAUAAACUACCACCAGUAUAUUCAAAGAAGUUGCUGAACAAUGUUUGUUUUGCCAUAUUGCUUUCACAAAGGCUAGCUAAAUGGCUGAAAAUCCACUGUUGCUGUCAUGUAUGGUAUUUUGGAUGAUUCUGUUAUUGACUAAUAAAAUGCAUGCUCCGCCUGAUGUCCCUGAUUUGAGUAAUCUGUAGUAGCUUACUCUUGUAACAUUAUCACUACUGAGUGAUAAAUUCUUAUUUUCUGAUUUUAUCAAAAUUUAGAUAUUUUCUGCAGUUUUCUCUCUAGAAUCAAGGUUUUGCUAUUCUCUCUGUUGUAUUGCUUAAGCAAUGGGUUCUAGAGUCCUCCUCAUGCUCUCUGUCUCUCCAUCCCAAUAAACACAUUAAUAGAACAAUUUCAAAAAGAAAAAAAUCCAUCUUGGCAUAUACUCUAACAUGAGUUUUGAAUACUUUCAUAAGGAAUAGUUGUUCUGGUACCUGUGGUGAAGAAUGAAAUAGAACUAAGCCCACCCCCUGGUCUUUGAGUAAAGCAUACAAUAUCUUCCUCUUUGGUUUCUGAGUUCCAGUUUCUAAUCCAGUUUAUCAGUUUAUCCCAAAAUUUUUGUUAGUUUUGAGUUGCCUAUAGUUUUUUUUUUUUUUUCCCCAGCAAUUAAUUUAUUAACAUUUGCCACUCCCUGCAGCAUAUCAUUUAGAGCUUAUGUAACUAAACCUUGUUCAUUAUUACAUUCAUUAGUUCAAUGGCAAAAGACAAUAAACAUUUCUUUAAUUGAGGAGUGAUUGUACUGGCAACAGUAGUUAGUGCUUUCUGUCAUGUUUUGAAAACUUAAAAAAAUGAAAGAAUCUUGCAAAAUCUUCUUUUAUAUGACUCAAAAGCCUGAUUUGCAAUUACUAUAAUCCGUCUAAAUGAAGAAAUCCUACAGA